rnacentral:rRNA from 1 species
UACGUAGGGGGCAAGCGUUGUCCGGAUUUAUUGGGCGUAAAGAGCGUGUAGGCGGCCAGAUAGGUCGGUUGUGAAAACUGGAGGCUUAACCUUCAGACGUCGACCGAAACCAUCUGGCUAGAGUCCGGAAGAGGAGAAUGGAAUUCCUGGUGUAGCGGUGAAAUGCGCAGAUAUCAGGAAGAACACCCGUGGCGAAGGCGGUUCUCUGGGACGGUACUGACGCUGAGACGCGAAAGCGUGGGGAGCGAAC